rnacentral:rRNA from 1 species
GUGACCCCAGGUCAGGCAGGAUCAACCGCUGAGUUUAAGCAUAUCAAUAAGCAGAGGAAAGGAAACUUACAAGGAUUUUCCUAGUAACUGUGAUCGAAUCGGGAAAAGCCCAACUUGAGAAUCGGACGGCCCCACAAUUCAAAUCGUACUCUGAAGAAGCAUUCUCAAUGGCGGACCAAGCUCAAGUCCCUUAAAAGGGACGCCAGAGAGGGUGAGAGCCCCAUUAUGCUCAGACCCUGACAUACCAUGAGGUAUUGUCGAUGAGUUCGAUUGUUUGGGAAUGUAGGCCCAAUUGGGCGAUAAAUUCCAUCCAAGGUUAAAUAUGGGUGAGAGAUCGAUAGUGAGCAAACACGACUAGGGAAAGAUAAAAAGAGCUUUGAAAAAAGAGUUAAAGAGUGCUUGAAAUUGUCGAGAGGAAAGCUGAUGGGGGUUGGCGAUGCAUUCCAAUCGGAUGUGAAAGGGCGACGAACCGGUUCGUCAUUCGACUUAGGGCACGGACCAGCACGAAUUGAGGUGGCAGUCAAAGCUUGUGCAGUCAACAUGCCCGAUUGUGGUGAACAACAUGUACCCUCGACGUGCCUCAGUACCUGCGCACUCCCGAUGCUAGCCUACAGGUUACCCAUUUAACCCAUCUUGAAACAUGGACCAAGGAGUCUAACAUGUGUGCCGGUCAAUGGGCGAGUAAACUCGUAAGGGGCAAGGAAGCUGAUUGAUGUGAUCACCACAAGGGGUGCAACGCCAACCGACCUUGAUCUUCUGAGAAGGGUUUGAGUGCGAGCAUACCUGUCGGGACCCGAAAGACAGUGACCUAUGCCUGAGCGAGGUGAAGCUAGAGGAAACUCUAGUAGAGGCCCUCAAUGAUACUGAUGUGUAAAUCAUUUAGCUGACUUAGGGAUAGGGGUGAAAGAGUAAUUGAACCAUCUAGAAGUUGGUUCUCUCUGAAGUUUUCCUCAGGAUAACUGGAGCUCAAGCGUGAGUUCUAUCGGGUAAAGCUAAUGAUUAGAGGCAUCAGGGACGCAACACCCUCGAGCUAUUCUCAAACUUUAAAUAGGUAGGACAAUCCGGUUGCUUCGUUGAGUUGUGCAGUGAAAUUGAGAGCUCUAAGUAGGCCAUUUUUGGUAAGCAGAACUGGCGAUGCGGGAUGAAUCGAAAGUCGGAUUAUGGUUACCAACUACAUGCUAACCUAGACCCCAUAAAGGGUAUUGGUCGAUUGAGAUAGCAGGACGGUGGUCAUGGAAGUUGAAAUUUGCUAAGGAGUGUGUAACAACUCACCUGUCGAAUCAACUAGCCUCGAAACGCGUGACAUAUACCCGACCGUCAGGGCAAGCUCUAGGCCUUGAUGAGUAGGAAGGCAUGGUGGUAGCUACAAAACCUUGGGCGAGAGCCUAGGCAUGAGUGGUCAUCAGUGCGGACUUGGUGUAAUAGUAAAUAUUCAAAUGGGAACUUUGAAGGCCGAAGAGGGGAAGGGUUCCUGUGAACGACACUUGCAUACGGGUUAUCAAUCCUAAGGGUUGGGGAAGCCCAACAGAUAGCUCGUUUCCCGCGUGUACCAAAAGGAAAUUUGGUUGAAAUUCCUGAAUCGAGAUGCGACGAUUGACAACAAUGUUAGGGAGUCUGAAGACGUCGUCGGGGGCCUCGAGAAGAGUUAUCUUUUUUGUUUAACAGCUGUCUACCCUGGAAAUGGCUCAACUAGAGGUAGAGUCCAGCGGUCAAAAGAGUACCGCACGUUUCGUGGUGUCCAUUACGACCCCGAUGACCCUUGAAAAUCCAGAGGACCUAGUACUGUCCACGCCCGAUCAUACUUAUAACCGCAUCAGGUCUCCAAGGCGAACAAACCUCUGGUUAAUGAACAAACCUCUGGUUAAUGGAACAAUGUAGGCAAGGAAAGUCGACAAAAUGGAGCCAUAACUUUGGGAAAAGGAUUGUGUCUGAGGGCUGGGUACGGGGUCCCAGUCCCGAAUGCAAUGUGAUUUCUGCCUAGUGCUCUUAAUGUCAAAGAGAAGAAAUUCAACCAAGUGCGGGUAAAUGGACGGAAGUAACUAUGACUCUCUUAAGAUAUCCAAAUGUCUCAUCAUCUAAUUAGUGAUGCGCAUGAAUGGAUUAUCAAGAUUCCCACUGUCCAUGUCUACUAUUCCGCAAAACCAUAGUCAAAAGAAUGGGCUUGGUAGAAUCAGCGAUGAAAAAAGACCCUGUUGAGCUUGACUCUAGUCUGACUUUGUGAAAUGACUUGAGAGAUGUAGGAUAAGUGGGAUCCGAAAGGUGAAAGUGAAAUACCACUACUUUUAACGUUAUUUUAUCGUGUAUCGGAGGUAGGGCACUGCCUCUCUUUUUGGACCCAAGGCCCGCUUUGCGGGUCCAUUCGAGAGGAAGACAUUGUUAGGUGGGGAGUUUGGUUAGGGUAGCACAUCUGUUAAAAGAUAAACUAGGUGUCCUAAGAUGAGCUCAACGAGAAUAAAAAUCUCGUGUAGAACAGAAGGGUAAAAGCUCAUUUGAUUGUAAUUUCCAGGAAGAAUAAAGCAUGGCCUAACGAUCCUUUAGACCUUCAAAAUUUAAAGCUAGAGGUGUCAGAAAAAUUACUCCAGGGAUAACUGGCUUAUGGCAACCAAGCGUUCAUAGCGACGCUGCUUUUUGAUCCUUCGAUAUCGGCUCUUCCUAUCAUUGUGAAGCAGAAUUCACCAAGUGUUAGAUUGUUCACCUAACAAUAGGGAAUGUGAGCUGGGUUCAGACCAUCGUGAGAUAGGUUCGUUUUACCAUACUGAUGAUAGUGUCGUAAUAAUUCAACCUAGUACGAGAGGAACCAUUGAUUCGCAUAAUUGGUCAUCGCGCUUGGUUGAAAAGCCAAUGGCACAAAGCUACCAUGCACUGGAUUAUGACUUAAUGCCUCUAAGUCAUAAUUCAGGCUAGAAGCAAUGCAUGCACCCACCAUCUGCUUGCUGACUCGUAAUAGGGGCCUUACGGCCUCAGGGGUACAUGUUGGCCAAGCCCUCGCAGCGGACGUACUGCAUUAGUCGCCUUGAAGUACAAUUUCCAUCGACCGAUGGGUAGAAUCCUUUGUAGACGACUUAAAUAUGUGACAGGGUAUUGUGAGCAGCAGAGUGGCCUUACUGUCAUGAUCCGCUGAGAUUC